AACGCACAUUGCGCCCUCUGGUAUUCCGGGGGGCAUGCCUGUUCGAGCGUCAUUACAACCCUCAAGCUCUGCUUGGUAUUGGGUGCCACCAUUUAGGUGCGCCUUGAACUUAGUGGCGGUGCCGUCUGGCUUCAAGCGUAGUAACACGCCUCGCUUUGGAGUUUUGAUGUUCACUUGCCAUCAACCCAAUUUUCAAAAGGUUGACCUCGGAUCAGGUAGGGAUACCCGCUGAACUUAA
rnacentral:misc_RNA from 1 species